CCCUUAGAUGUUCUGGGCCGCACGCGCGCUACACUGACUGGUGCAACAAGUGUCUGACCUUGGCUCGAGAGGCCUGGGCAACCUUUGAACGCCAGUCGUGCUGGGGAUAGAUUCUUGCAAUUAUUAAUCUUCAACGAGGAAUUCCUAGUAAACGCAAGUCAUCAGCUUGCAUUGAUUACGUCCCUGCCCUUUGUACACACCGCCCGUCGCACCUACCGAUUGAAUGGUCCGGUGAAAUCUCGGGACGGCGGCUUGGUCGCUUGCGUCCGACUGCUGAAACUUGAUUAAACCAUAUCAUUUAGAGGAAGGUGAAGUCGUANCA
rnacentral:rRNA from 1 species